UACAGAGGUCCCAAGCGUUGUUCGGAUUCACUGGGCGUAAAGGGCGCGUAGGCGGGAUGGCAAGUCGGUCGUGAAAUCCCUCGGCUCAACCGAGGAACGUCGAUCGAUACUGCUGUUCUUGAGGAUUGCAGAGGAGACUGGAAUUCCCGGUGUAGCGGUGAAAUGUGUAGAGAUCGGGAGGAACACCGGUGGCGAAGGCGGGUCUCUGGGCAAUUCCUGACGCUGAGGCGCGAAAGCGUGGGGAGCGAACGGG
rnacentral:rRNA from 1 species